GUUGGAGGGAGAGGUGGGUGGGUGGCUGAGGGGGGGGGGCGAUCCUGCGUGUGUUUAAAAAAAACACGUCCUUCAGUGUUCGAGGGGAAAACAUGCUUUGCGGGCAAAUAUGAGGAAGCGGCGGGAGGAUGCAGAGGGUUGGGUCGAAGGAGGGAAAAGGCGUCCAAACACAUUUUUGGAGUAAUGUGUCGAUGCCAUGUGUUGGUUCACACACGUUGGGCAGCCUUUGCUGUGCUCCAUAUAUUCGCAUCAUCAUCGUGCUUCAUGAGCACUGAUACUCGCCAGUUGUAGCAGCCAUCGCUCAACUCUUCGAGCGGAGAAAACAUUAAUAUUCAUUUGGAUUCUGAUUUAUGGCUCGUCCUUUAACCCGACACAAAAAACAGGAAGAGGCAUUGCAUAUCGGUGUGCUUAACUUGAAACAUGAGAGCAAUUUUGAGCUGUGUGAAGUGACUUCAGUCUACAUUUAAGUGUAAAUAAUAUAGAAAUGUGUAACACAAACACAUGGCUGGUGUAGGGAAGGACACGCCCCCUAAAGCCCACUCGAGAAAUACACUCAAAAGCAAUACAUUUAAAUACAAUAGUGAGAUCCAAUGAAAGAGCUGCAUUUAGAAAAUGUACACUGGUAGUAGACACACCGCUGUUGAAAUGCGACAUGUUUGUCACAUACAGACCAAGACAACAAUUUCCACCCUUAAUCCAACUGAUCAUUUUUACAACUUAAUUGAAAAUGUUUUAAUAAUACAUUGGAAUUGGAGGUAAAGUUAAAUAACUGAGACAAUAUCCAAAUGCCUCUAAUACAUUUCAGAUGUUCUAGUAGGCUUUCCCUUUUUCUUUGUUCUGCACUAUAACUUUAUGAACUGUCAUAGCUCUAAAUUACAAUGCAUGCAUUUGUAUUGCGCAAGCUUUUUGAUGGAGGAAAGGAUUAUUUAUUAUGUUUGAUUCUACUUUUUAAUUGCUGUGGUUUUGUUUGGAAAAUAUUAAUAGAGACGAAGUGUUUGUUUUGCAAGUAUUAAUGUGUAUUAAGGGUAAUGAAACAGGAGAACCGAAACGUGCGCAACUCUAAAUGGGCACAGGAGAUGACCAGAUAAGAGGAAAUCAACGGGAAUCGACCCUUCUGUCUUUCUCAAGAUAUGCUGAAUUGACGUAUAAAAAGUGAUUUGACGUAUAAAAUGUGAUUAUCAGGCUUAUGUACAUGCGGAGGAUGUGAUGAAAAUUUCAAUAUCAUGUACUUUGGAGUGAAAGUCAGGGUGGGGCCAGCCUGUGGACAACCCAAACUUCCCCUUGGUGGCCUCACCUUCAUAUAACUCAGGGACCUCAAGAAGCAGAUGAAAAGAGAGGGCACAGGGAGGGGCUGUUUUAGGAGAGCUGAGAGAAUUGUGAGCAGCCUCCUUUCUAUAUCCUCGCAACCAAAAACAGAGAGACGUCUCUUCUCUUCCUUUUUAUUGUAAACGCUGCACCCAAGGCUCCUGUGAAAUGCGUCGUUAAAAGCUCCUUCACGCCUACCAUCCGCCCGCACAGGUGUUCAGACGGCGACAAAAGUAUCAGCAGGAUUAAUAACUUGAUGAUGACUGCAUUUCAAUGAGGUGAAGCCACUCGCUGCUCUCUACGAUGGAGCUUUACGGCUUUGACUGUAACUAACAAUGAGGAGGGGGGUGUUGUUGCAUGUGACUCACAUUUUUUUUUUUGCCCAUACAACUAUGUAUUAUGGUGUGUAAAGAGUUGAGGACAACGGGGGCUGUCCAUGGUCCUGAAAGUGGGGCCCCAAAUUUGGAUGCUUGUCAAAAAAGAAGCCCUGUAUUUUUUUUUUCAACAGCAAUAUACAAUUCAGCACCCACUCGUCUAAACAUGGCACUUUGAUUAAAAUUACACUUGUGGAAGAUGAAUGAGGCAGACAAAGACACCCAUUUUAUUCUUCUCAUUGGCCGGCCAAUUUGCCCACUUACUGUCGACUGAAAAUAUUAUCACAGUUGCUCGGGUCAGGUAACGACCAAUCAUGGCUUUUUGAGUUUGGUCAUGUGAUGUUCACAAGCCGAGCCGUGAUUAGUUGUUACCUGAGCAACUGCAAUGUCAUUUUCAAUCCAAAGAAAGUGGUAAAAAGACCGUCCGCUGAAAAAUAGGUGACUUUUUCUGCUUAAUUAAUAUUCCACAAACGCAAUAUGAAUCAGAAUGCCGUGUUUAGUCUAGCAGGGCCAUAACUUGACUUUCCUUUUAAACUAUAUAACAUUGCUACAUCACAGGAUAUAUGUUGUUUCUCCCUGUAAAGCGCAAACGUGAACCCCAUGACAAUCACAAUGUCUCAGCAGUGCAGUGUUUUACAAUUAAAGUGUUUGUAGGCCUUGCAGGAAGUAAGUGCUACUUUUGACAUUUAAAAUCAGUUCAACUGAGCCCGGGCCUAAAGCAAGAGAAAUACUGUUUCUGUAGUGCUCAAAGACAAACUGUUCUGGUAACAGUGGGAGUACUUGUAAGGUGGAGAGAGGGAGGAGGGGCGCAUCAAGAUAAAGACUGAGUCUUUUGUAACCUUUGCCGUAAUGUUGUCUGCGCUGCUUUGAAGUUAGAUAAUGACCACUGAAUGUGGAAUGUAGGGAUUUAGUGAUCCACAAGACAUGGCAGAUGUGGACCAAACAACAACAUACAA